rnacentral:rRNA from 1 species
UGGGGAAUAUUGCACAAUGGGCGAAAGCCUGAUGCAGCGACGCCGCGUGAGGGAUGACGGCCUUCGGGUUGUAAACCUCUUUCAGCAGGGAAGAAGCGAAAGUGACGGUACCUGCAGAAGAAGCGCCGGCUAACUACGUGCCAGCAGCCGCGGUAAUACGUAGGGCGCAAGCGUUGUCCGGAAUUAUUGGGCGUAAAGAGCUCGUAGGCGGUUAGUCGCGUCUGCUGUGAAAACUCGAGGCUCAACCUCGGGCUUGCAGUGGGUACGGGCUGACUAGAGUGCGGUAGGGGUGACUGGAAUUCCUGGUGUAGCGGUGGAAUGCGCAGAUAUCAGGAGGAACACCGAUGGGCGAAGGCAGGUCACUGGGCCGCAACUGACGCUGGGGAGCGAAGCAUGGGGAGCGACAGGAUUAGAUACCCUGGUAGUCCAUGCCGUAAACGUUGGGCACUAGGUGUGGGGUCCAUUCCACGGAUUCGUGCCGCAGCAAACGCUUAAGUGCCCCGCCUGGGGAGUACGGCCGCAAGGCUAAACUCAAAUGAAUUGACGGGGUCAUAGCUG